AACAUCGCGCACCUGCGGGAACCUGCGGAGGGAUCAUUACAGAGAUUGAUGCACCAAGUGCAUCACCUCCAACCCCUUGCGAAAACAACUAUCAUGUGUUGCUUUGGCAGUGUUCCCACUGCCAGAGGUUUACAUAAAAUCAGCUGUUUGGAUGUUGUCUGAGUAAACUAUAUGAAUUAUUUAAAACUUUCAACAACGGAUCU
rnacentral:misc_RNA from 1 species